rnacentral:rRNA from 1 species
UACGUAGGGGGCAAGCGUUGUCCGGAAUUAUUGGGCGUAAAGAGCGUGUAGGCGGUCCGGUAAGUCAGCUGUGAAAGUCAAGGGCUCAACCCUUGAAUGCCGGUUGAUACUGUCGGGCUAGAGUCCGGAAGAGGCGAGUGGAAUUCCCGGUGUAGCGGUGAAAUGCGCAGAUAUCGGGAGGAACACCGGUGGCGAGGGCGGCGACCUGGGUAGAUACUGACGCUGAGGUGCGAAAGCGUGGGGAGCAAACAGG